GUGCUUCUUUUGGCAGUACACAUACUAAAAUUGAAAUGAUAUAGAGAAGAUUAGAUGGCCCCUGUGCAAGGAUGACAUGCAAAUUCAUGAAACAUUCCAUAUAUAU
rnacentral:snRNA from 1 species